CUGUGUAAUGUUCUAUAUAAGAGAGGUAAGGGACCAGCUACACUAUUCACAGCCCUGUGUAAUGUUCUAUAUAAGAGAGGUAAGGGACCAGCUCAGAGACCAGCUACACUAUUCACAGCCCUGUGUAAUGUUCUAUAUAAGAGAGGUAAGGGACCAGCUCAGAGACCAGCUACACUAUUCACAGCCCUGUGUAAUGUUCUAUAUAAGAGAGGUAAGGGACCAGCUCAGAGACCAGCUACACUAUUCACAGCCCUGUGUAAUGUUCUAUAUAAGAGAGGUAAGGGACCAGCUCAGAGACCAGCUACACUAUUCACAGCCCUGUGUAAUGUUCUAUAUAAGAGAGGUAAGGGACCAGCUCAGAGACCAGCUACACUAUUCACAGCCCUGUGUAAUGUUCUAUAUAAGAGAGGUAAGGGACCAGCUCAGAGACCAGCUACACUAUUCACAGCCCUGUGUAAUGUUCUAUAUAAGAGAGGUAAGGGACCAGCUCAGAGACCAGCUACACUAUUCACAGCCCUGUGUAAUGUUCUAUAUAAGAGAGGUAAGGGACCAGCUACACUAUUCACAGCCCUGUGUAAUGUUCUAUAUAAGAGAGGUAAGGGACCAGCUACACUAUUCACAGCCCAGUGUAAUGUUCUAUAUAAGAGAGGUAAGGGACCAGCUACACUAUUCACAGCCCUGUGUAAUGUUCUAUAUAAGAGUGGUAAGGGACCAGCUACACUAUUCACAGCCCUGUGUAAUGUUCUAUAUAAGAGAGGUAAGGGACCAGCUACACUAUUCACAGCCCUGUGUAAUGUUCUAUGUUCAGCUCAUCCUUCAGCACAUGUUGAUAUCAUAUUCAACAUGAUG